UACGUAGGGUGCGAGCGUUGCCCGGAUUUAUUGGGCGUAGAGGGCGCGUAGGCGGCCACGCACGUCCGUUGUGAAAUCGCCCGGCUCAACUGGGCGGGGUCAGCGGAUACGGCGCGGCUGGAGCAAGCUAGGGGGCAAUGGAAUUCCCGGUGUAGUGGUGGAAUGCGUAGAUAUCGGGAGGAACACCAGUGGCGAAGGCGGUUGCCUGGAGCUUUGCUGACGCUGAUGCGCGAAAGCGUGGGGAGCGAUCCGG
rnacentral:rRNA from 1 species